GGAAGCACUCCGUCGGUUACGACGACGAGCGUUCCGGUUGACCCGAUCAACGGAACAGCCUGCUCGUGAAAUUAACGUGUAAGUGGCUGAGCACUCCACAUACGCGUGUACCCUUAACGUAGUUCUCGGGGAUAUUCAGCGUGAUACAGAGAGUGACAAGGCCGGCCCUUUGAAAUACAGGUACAACAGAAACAGGAAGUAAGAAUGAGAGAAAGUUGUGGUGAAAGAGUACAGCAGGGAUCACCACUAUCCCCUGCCGGAGCCUCGUGGAGCUUUAGGUGUUUUCGCUCAAUAAACACUCACAACGCCCGGUCUGGGAAUCGAAACCGCGAUCCUACGACCGCGAGUCCGCUGCCCUAACCACUGGGCCAUUGCGCCUCCAAAGAAUUAAAUACACACCCAUAUACGCACUAAAAAUAAAAUAUUAAGUAUGGAAGUUAUAUUAAUAGCAGAAUACAAAGCGAAAAUCAAUUCAGGGAUACAGCAUUCGUGAAGCAGUUGUCAAGCGUUAAAUGAUUUUAAAUCAGAGAAUAAUGAUUUUAUUCACUUUAGCAUCAUUCGCUUGAUCCUUUGCAGCCUUCAUCGAAACGCAGCGAUGCAACGGCUCUAUGAUGUUUCAAUGAGAGGAUGAGGGUGACCAGGUUUCAAAACGUGACUAGAUACAGGCAGGGCAUUGUUUCUUACUAAACACGAAAAAAAAAAAACUGAUAAACAUACACAAUAAGUCUGUAGUAAAAAAAAAAUAUCAAUAUAAUCGAAGAUUGUUGUGUCUGAAGGGCUUACAUACAAGAUGCGUAAAUGGAUUCAUACUUGCAUACACAUACAUUUACCUUUCUAUUGAUCUGUCUGUCUGUCUGUCUCUUUCUGUGUGUGUGUGUGUGUGUGUGUGUGUGUGUGUGUUAUCGCUGGAAUAGCAAUUGUGGAAGCACUCCGUCGGUUACGACGACGAGGGUUCCGGUUGAUCCGAAUCAACGGAACAGCCUGCUCGUGAAAUUAACGUGUAAGUGGCUGAGCACUCCACAGACACGCGUACCCUUAACGUAGUUCUCGGGGAUAUUCAGCGUGACACAGAGAGUGACAAGGCCGGCCCCUUUGAAAUACAGGUACAACAGAAACAGGAAGUAAGAGUGAGAGAAAGUUGUGGUGAAAGAGUACAGCAGGGAUCACCACCAUCCCCUGCCGGAGCCUCGUGGAGCUUUUUAGGUGUUUUCGCUCAAUAAACACUCACAACGCCCGGUCUGAGAAUCGAAACCGCGAUCCUAUGACCGCGAGUCCGCUGCCCUAACCACUGGGCCGUUGCGCCUCCAAUAGCAAUAUAAUGUGUAGCGAACCCUGAAAAAUCGUGCUGAAAAUAAUUUCAAGUAGCCAUCCUCCAGAUUCAAAAACAUUAAUUAAGAGAGUUCACCUGUCUAUCACUAACGUAGAUAUUACUUUAUGAAUGGAUAAAUGUAUGAAUGAAACAUUACAAUGCGUGUAUUCUAGGACAUACAGUUUAUAUCAUAUAAGUCAAAGUCACGACCAUAUUUUAUAGCAUUGGCUGCUAUAUAUGGAUCGUCUCUUCUCUUCUCUUAAUUUUUUCUCAUUCUUUCUCUUUCUCUGUUAAUCUGUCUCCGUCUCUCUCUUCCCUCCUUCCUUCGUUUCGUUCUUUCUCUCAUUCUUCUAUCUCUUUCUCUCUCUCUCUCUCUCUCUCUCUCACAAUAUAUAUAUGUAUAUAUAUAUAUAUAUAUAUAUAUAUAUAUAUAUAUAUAUAUAUAUAUAUAUAUAUAUAUAUAUAUAUAUAUAUAUACAUAUAUAUAUGUAUGUAUGUAUGUAUGUAUAUAUAUAUAUAUAUAUAUAUGUAUAUAUAUAUACAUAUAUAUAUAUAUAUGCAUAUAUAUAUAUAUAUAUAUAUAUAUAUGCGUGUGUGUGUAUCUGUAAAUACAUAUAUAUAUAUAUAUAUAUAUAUAUAUAUAUGUGUGUGUGUGUGUGUGUGUGUGUGUGUGUGUGUGUGUGUGUAUGUAGGCCUGUAUGUAUAGAUGAUGUAUAUACAGAGAUGCACACCUAUACACACAUAUAUAACACGCACAUACAUGAAAAUUGCUAAUAAUCUAGUAGAAUUGAAAAUAACAAAUAUCGAUAAAUCGAAUGUAAUAUGGCUAUUGUCAGAAGCUGUUAGACAAGGAGAAAACCAGCCCUAGGUCGAAUAUUUCUGGCUACCGGAAGAACAGUAAAAACAUUACAUAUUGUGCUUGACUGCCUUAUGUCUCAUACAUUACAUAUCUAGAUUGUGAUCAAGGAUAGGUGGCGGUGGUUUUGUUGGCGAUGGUGUUGGUGGUGGUGGUGGUGGUGGUAGUGUUGUUGUUGGUGGUGAUGAUGAUGUAAGUGAAUAUAUAUGCUUGAAAAAAUGUUUCUGUCUGUGUAUUUGUGUAUGUAAGCCUAUGUGUAUGUAUUACAUGCAUACAUACAUAAAUACAUACAUACAUACAUACAUACAUACAUACAUACAUACAUACGUAUAGGUAUAUCUUUAUCAUUUAUCUUUUACUUAUUUCAGUCGUUUUAACAGCAGCCAUGCUGAGGCACCACCGCGGAGGGUUUUAGUCGAACAAAUUCACUCUAAUACUUAUUUUUUCCUAAGCCUGGUACUUAUUUUAUCGUUCUCUUAUUAUUGAAUCAAUAAAUUAGGGAGACCUAAAGGAGCCAACAUUAAAGGAACCAUCAAAAAGUUAGGGAGACCUAAAGGAGCGGUAGUGGAGGACAAACAAGAAGGCACACAUACACAGACACACGCACAUUCACACAUGCAGAUCCAGACCAUCACUGGAGCUGUAAAAAUUUUACUAACCAGCCACAUGGUUCCGGGUUCAGUCCCACUGCGUGGCACCUAGGGCAAGUGUCUUCUGCUAUAGCCCCGGGCCGACCAAAGCCUUGUGAGUGGAUUUGGUAGACAGAAACCGAAAGAAGCCUGUCGUAUAUAUGUAUAUGUAUAUAUAUGUGUGUGUUUGUGUGUCUGUGUUUGUCGCCCUAGCAUUGCUUGACAACCGAUGCUGGUGUGUUUACGUCCCCGUUACUUAGCGGUUCUGAAAAAGAGACCGAUAGAAUAAGUACUGGGCUUACAAAGAAUAAGUCCCGGGGUCGAUUUGCUCGACUAAAGGCGGUGCUCCAGCAUGGCCGCAGUCAAAUGACUGAAACAAGUAAAAGAGUAAAAGUGAGAGUAUGUUCUUUUUCCCUUUUCAAUUUAGAGUAAUUUGUGACCGGCUAGCUACCUGUUAGCAUCUUGUUCUAACCAUCAUGCUUUGAAUCUUAAGAAGGUCUUGCAGAUUUUUAUAGUCCCAGGUAUCGUGAUCAUUUGUAACAUAUGAAUUAAGGAUUUGCCUUCUCUCCCUAAGAUCUCAACUUAGCUCCAUUUUGUGCCGGGUGGGCUGGUAUGGAUCCUGUUGCUUCAAUAAUAAUAGAUAUGAAGCUGAAAGUGUAUCUUGGGUACUGCAAACUCCUUACCACUGGUUCACAGAUCUUCUCUUUCUCUUGUAUUUCUUAAACCACAUUCGUAUCCAGAGGGCUGCUAUGUAUGUAUGUAUGUAUGUAUGUAUGUAUGUAUGUAUGUAUGUAUGUAUGUAUGUAUGUAUGUAUGUAUGUAUGUAUGUAUGUAUGUAUAUUUGAGUAGUUGAAUGAAUUAUCUUGUUAUGGAUAAUUCGGUUAACCGAUACCUGGUUAGCAAAUUCACAUCAGAGAAAACACGUAUGAAGUUACGUGCUUUCGUGUGGAAAUUUGUAUGUUUUUUUUUUUAAAUAUAAAUAUAUGAAAGAAUGGAGUUGAACGACGAAUUAACAAAAUUCCUUUAUUUUCGACAUAUGUUUCGAAGGCUGCAUAUUCCUAAUUGCGAAGGAAUAAGGAGUAUAUUAUGCCGCUUUCUCAUCAGGAAAAGCAAGGAAAUUAUGUCAACAUCAAGAUGCACAAAAAAACUUUUAGAUGACUUCGCAAUUAGGAAUAUGCAGCCUUCGAAACAUAUGUCGAAAAUAAAGGAAUUUUGUUAAUUCGUCGUUCAACUCCAUUCUUUCAUGUAUGUAUGUAUGUAUGUAUGUAUGUAUGUAUGUAUGUAUGUAUGUAUGUAUGUAUGUAUGUAUGUAUGUAGGUCGGUAUGUAUGUAUGUAUGUAUGUAUGUAUGUAUGUAUGUAUGUUCACUUUUAUUUUAAGAUUUCUUGCCAAUAGUGAAAGAGCUGGUUUCUAACCUAGAUCCAAAGCUCCUUCAUUGGAAUUACAGCUUCAACAACAGUGUUUUUUGUAUGUAUGUACGUAUGUAUAUAUGCAGAUUUGUAUGCUUUGUUUUAUGUAUGUAUUCUCAUGCAUAUAAUUGCAUAUCUAGACAUGCUCAUAUAUGUUUAAAUAAUAAAUGGCUGGAAAGUUUUACAGAGUUGUACAGUUCCAGUGAUGGAUUAGAUCUGUAGCCUUCGAAUUAGCUUUCUCCUUUCUGGUUUUGAGAAUCCUAAUUUCUCAAGAUUGGUAUUUAGGCAGUACAUGUAUGUAUGUUUGUAUGUAUGCAUAUAUAUAUAUAAAGGUAAAGUUUACGAAAAUAAACAAAAGACGAAGGCAGGUGGAGUACAGACAAACAAAUGUAUUAGUAUAGCACUCAGGAAUAGAAAUAGAAAAAGUCUUUUACGUUUCGAGCCUACGCUCUUCGACAGAAAGAUACACAGAAAAAAAAACAAGAAGAGAAACAAGGAGAGAAAAAAAAGAGAGAAAAAAAUGCGUGUAGGAGCUAGCGAUCUAUUAUGAGUUUGCUUGUGAGCUUGGUAACUUGACACAUAAGCUUAACGUAAAUCCCGAUUAGUAUAAUUGGAAUGUUAACUUCGCUGAGAGGGCAUUUGACGGAACCAACACCUGUAUAGAAUGUAGAAAAAAGCUCGGUGGGAAUAAGCUAGGUUUGAAAACACUUGUAGUUACAUGAAAUUAUACAAGGAAGCCACAUAAACACCGUAGAAUUACUGAAUCAUGUCUGUCACAUAUGCUUGCAGCCUUGUAGGUCAACUGCUGAACUCAAGAGACAUCUCCGAGUACACUGACGUAAUGAAGAUUAUUGGAAGUGAUAUAGAUUGAGACGGUUAUUAGCUGUCAAGAGUGAGGGCGCGUGGCUUAGUGGUUAGGGCAUUCGGCUCAUGAUCGUAAGGUUGUGAGUUCGAUUCCCGGCGACGCGUUGUGUCCUUGAGCAAGACACUUUAUUUCACGUUUCUCCAGUCCACUCAGCUGGCAAAAAUGAGUUGUACUUGUAUUUCAAAGGGUCACCCUUGUCACUCUCUGUGUCACGCUGAUUAUCCCCGAGAACUACGUUAAGGGUACGCGUGUCUGUGGAAUGCUCAGCCGUUUGCACGUUAAUUUCACGAGCAAGCUGUUCCGUUGAUCGGAUCAACCGGAACCCUCGUCGUCGUAACCGGCGGAGUCUUUUUUUUUUAAAGCUGUCAAGAUAAAGCGGUCGUCAUCACGUUCGCGCGCACAAACACACACAUACACAUACCCUUAUACACACAUCUAUAUCGUUAAAUUAUAUUCGUAAAUAUAUAUUUAUGUAUAUAAAGGUAUAUAUGUAUGCAUAAAUGUGUGUGAGUGUGACUAUAUAUAUAUAUAUAUAUAUAUAUAUAUAUAUUCGUUGUUUCCGUUUGUUUACUUCAUGCAGACAUUGGUUAUAACCCCCUUCUAUCCUACACCUCUAUAUGCAUAUAUAUAUAUAUAUAUAUAUAUAUAUAUAUAUAUAUAUAUAUAUAUAUAUAUGUAUGUAUGUAUGUAUGUAUGUAUGUAUGAAUGUAUGUAUGCAUGUAUGUAUGAAUGUAUGAAUGUAUGUAUAUGUUUGUGUGCCUGUGUUUGUUCCCCCAACAUCGUUUGACAAUCGAUGUUGGUGUGUUUAGAUCUCCGUGAGUUAGCGGUUCGGCAAAGAGACCGAGAGAAUAAGUACUAGGCUAACAAAGAAUAAGGCUUGGGGUCUAUUUGUUCGACUAAAGGCGGUGCUCUAGCAUGGCCACAAUUAAAUGAUUGAAACAAAUAAAAGAAUACAUGUGAGCAUAUGAAUAUAUAUGUGUAUAUGUGUGUGUAUAUAUAUGUCUAAAUAUAUGUAUAUGCAUAUAAAUAUAUAUGUGUAUAUAACUUGACUUAAACAAAACUUGACUUAAACAGGAUUCGAAUAAUCCUAGUUUAUCUAAGUUUUUAUAUAUAUAUAUAUAUAUACAUACAUAUAUCUAUGUACCUUUAUAGGUCCAUACUUGUAUAUGCGCUCACGCACGCGAGUGGAGUGUGUGCUGCAAGAGACAUAUUCUUACAAAUAUUCGGAUAUUCGGUAAGAAUCGAUAUUUCGCUUCCUUUCCCUUCUUUCUAAUAAAGUUACAACCGACGGAUUGGCGUCCUUAUCCAGAUGAAUAGUUAUUUGUAAUCUGAUUAGCACUGCGGAAAACAACAUUUAGAUCCGCGACAAUGGCUCCUAAUUAUUUGUGAUACAGUAAACAUUUUAAUAAUGCUACUUGAGAUAUAUCUCCCACGUUUCAUCCAGCGCGCUCUCCUAUAAAUGUUUAAACCAAUAUUUAACUGUUAGACAUAAUGCGUAGCUCUGUUUGACAUCAGCACCAGCAUCUGUUCAUGGGAUCUCUUCGGCAGCAGAAUCCCAAUCUGUUGCAACAAGCAUUCUAACUUGGCCAUUCGUCUAGUGAUAAUUCAUGCCCGCCCCGCCCCACCACCUUUUUUUUUUUACCUCAUCCAUAAAAAGCUUCUGUGAUCCAUAAAAAGACUGACUAUGAAUGUUGUGGGUAAUGUCUUUCUUCGUUAACCAACAACAUCUCAGAAAAUAAAUAAAAAAAGAAAAGAAAGGAAAAGAAGGUGAGGGUUAUUUUACUCUUUACUCUUUUACUCUUUUACUUGUUUCAGUCAUUUGACUGCGGCCAUGCUCGAGCACCGCCUUUAAUCGAGCAACUCGACCCCGGGACUUAUUCUUUUGUAAGCCCAGUACUCAUUCUGUCGGUCUCUUUUGCCGAACCGCUAGGUGACGGGGACAUAAACACACCAGCAUCGGUUGUCAAGCAAUGCUAGGGGACAAACACAGACACACAAACACACACACGCAUAUAUAUAUAUAUAUAUAUAUAUAUAUAUACACACACGCAUAUAUAUAUAUAUACAUAUAUACGACGAGCUUCUUUCAGUUUCCGUCUACCAAAUCCACUCACAAGGCCUUGGUCGGCCCGAGGCUAUAGUAGAAGACACUUACCCAAGGUGCCACGCAGUGGGACUGAACCUGGAACCUUGCGGUUGGUAGACAAGCUACUUACCACACAGCCACUCCUGCGCUUUUUGUGCAUUUUUCAAACUAAUAGUAAAGCACAAAUAUUAGCGCACUCUCAUGUGAACGAGACACUAUUCGUACAGAGCGGCCCGCUAUUAUUUGUGAAUAUCGAAGCGACUGCGUUGGACCAAUUUUGACAAGAAGGGGAAGCAAAGACCUGAAUUACAAGCAGUUCGAAACUUGCGCUGCACAGCAGGGAAAGAAGGCUGUACUUAUUGAAUCUCAGUUCAGACCUGGUUAAAUAGUCACACUAUCUGAGGUUUUCCAGAUGUGGCCUUCACGUCUUAUACAUAUUCGUGUUCAAAAAUAUCCUGUGUUCUUCCAAUUUUCAUAGUCAGUUUUGUUGUUCGCGGAUGAUAGAUGCUAUUUUCAGCGGGUUGCGCCAAGUGCAGUGUUUUAAAAUAAAAUAUUUCAGUGUAAUGAAAUUUCUAUGCAUACAUUUUUACACUCAUUUGAAAUAGAAAUAAAGUGGUACAUGCAUGCAGAUUUACGUUCAUAAAUAUCACCAUACGUAUCUACAUACAUACAUACAUGCAUACAUGCAUGCAUACAUACAUACAUACAUACAUACAUACAUACAUACAUACAUACAUACAUACAUGCAUGCAUACAUACAUAUACAUACAUACAUACAUAUGCAUACAUACAUGCAUGCAUGCAUACAUACAUACGUACAUACAUACAUACAUACAUAAAUACAUACAUACAUAAAUACAUACAUACAUAUGCAUACAUACAUACAUAUGCAUAAUACAUAUGCAUACAUACAUACAUGCAUGCAUGCAUACAUACAUACGUACAUACAUACAUACAUACAUAAAUACAUACAUACAUAAAUACAUACAUACAUAUGCAUACAUACAUACAUAUGCAUAAUACAUAUGCAUACAUACAUACAUGCAUGCAUGCAUACAUACAUACAUACAUACAUACAUACAUACAUACAUACAUAUAUGCAUACAUACAUAUGCAUACACAUUCAUGCAUACACACACACAUACAUAACUACGUAGUAGCUAUAUGUUUCCCAUGAGGCUUGUUAUACUUGUUACCUCCUGCAACGUCAUACAAUGCUGACCAUAUUUCUGAUGGAUUGCUCUGCUGAAAGGAAUAAAGGCAACAAAAACAACAUAAUGCAUUCACAAAUUUAUUAAUAAAGAAUAAUCGUGGAACGUUCCAAUAGAAAAUAUCUACCCAUCCUCAGGGACAGUAUUAACGUUCUUUAGCUUUUGUGUCCGACUCAUACACACACACACACACACACACACACACACACACACACACACACACACACACACACACACAUGCACACAUACACACUCGCGCACACAUAUAUACAUACAUAUAUUAUUUAUUGAAAUCAGCUGUCCCAACAGAUGUAAAUGUCAGGUCCUAUGUGGAGGCAGACAAAUUACUACGUACGAAAACUAUUGCUGCUUAUAUUCUAAUUAAAGAUUCCUAUUUAUUUACGCAAUCAUCUGUGUAUUUGACUAUAUAAUAACAUGCUUACAUUGUACCGAGAAAUGUUUGGUUUCUCAAAGGAAGACCAAAUGGGGAAAUAAAGUCAUAUUAAAGAUGAUGGCUGACUCGAAAUUCUGUAAAGAAAAUUCAUUAACGAAAAGUUAAAUUUGUAUAGAAUUCCUGAAAAACCGUUAGUUUAAAUCGAUUAGGUGGGUGUACACACACACAUGUAUAAACAUACAUAUAUAUAUAUAUAUAUAUCACGUGAUCACGUGACCGACCAGACCAUCAGAUGUUGUUACACAUCGCUGGUCACAAUGCGUUCGCAUUGUUUUAGCCUUCGAAUGACGCCAUCCCGCUGGCUAAGCGAGCGGGCCAACAAAAGAAAGAGUGGGAGAAAGUGUGGGAGAAAGUGUGGUGAAAGAGUACAGCAGGGAUCACCACCCCCUGCCGGAGCCUCGUGGAGCUUUUAGGUGUUUUCGCUCAAUAAACACUUACAACACCUGGUCUGGGAAUCGAAACCGCGAUCCUACGACCGCGAGUCCGCUGCCCUAACCACUGGGCCAUUGCGCUUCCACAUAUAUAUAUAUAUAUAUAUAUAUAUGUACGUUUAUACAUACAUGAAGGCAUAGAGAGAGAAUAAGACAUUGGGUGAGAGAUAAAUACACGUAUGUGCAUCCAUUCAUACGUACGUGGUCUGAUCAAUAAGCACUUAGGGCGAAGCCGCUUGGCAAGGAUUGACCUUGAUCUCUGUUUCAACAUCUUAGCUUACUUCCACUAUUUUCAGCAGGGCUUGGAAGGAACGUGUGUAGCGUGUUGUCGUCGUAUUGACCAUGACAAAGUUGAGCAGAGAAUCUGCAUCAAAUUUUCCCAAAAGUUUGGUGGUACCUUCGAGUUUGUGCGCGCAUGCGCGUUUUUGGCGCGCUAGUAUGAGCAUGAAGGAGUAAAGUGGAAGUAAAAUAUAUAUUAUAGUUUAUUAGAAGCUCAAACUUCAUAAAUUGUUACUCAGAGUUUCUCAUUUCCCUUCUUCUUCACGGAAAUGAAAGAUGUAACAUAAAGCAUAUGUUUAAAAGAGAAAGAAUCGGAGUAUUUGGACGACUCAGUAAACUUCGACUGGAUAAGGAUAUUGAGGCGAAAGAUUCUUACUGGCUCACUAUUUCUAUAUUGUACACAAAGCGAUUGAUAUAUAUAUAUAUGUUAGCAGUAUCGCCCGGCGUUGCUCGGGUUUGUAAGGGAAAUAACUAUAUAAGCAUUUUAGAGAGUUAUAGCCAAAAAAUAGCAAAAAAAUGCAUUAAAAAUUGAAAAAAAAAAUGAUGGUAAUUUUUUUUUUAAAUCGUUGACUCAUCGUAGACAUUUUUAGAGAGUUAUUUCCCUUAUAUAAUAGCGAAAAAUGCAUUAAAAUGGAAAAAAAUUAUGGUAAAUUUUUUUUAAAUCGUUGACUCAACGUAGACAUUUUUAGAGAGUUAAUUCCCUUAUAUAAUAGCGAAAAAAUGCAUUAAAAUGGAAAAAAAUGAUGGUAAAUUUCUUUUUAAAUCGUAGACUCAUCGUAGACUAUACCCAGAAGGGCUCGAUAUGAAUCACGACUAUAAGAUACCCGGUUUUGGUUAAACUGCACCGCAAAAUGUGGGAGUAGUUAGGAAUCUAAAUCGUAGGAGACAGACAACACACAACGUCAUUUUCAAAUAUAAAGAUAUGUAUACAUAUAUAUAUACAUAUAUAUACAUAUAUAUAUAUAUAUAUAUAUAUAUAUAUAUAUAUAUACAUAUAUAUACAUACAUAUAUAUAUAUAUAUAUAUAUAUAUAUAUACAAAGAACAAAUUAGAAGUAGGAAUGAGAUGGAAUCGCGCUAGUAAGAGUAGAAAAGAAAUCAAAGAGAAAAGAAAGAAAGAAAUGAAAGUACAUGAAACGGAAAAUAAUAAAAGGUAAUAAAAAACGCGCAUUAAAAAUGCGGUAAUAAAAGACAUUGUAUCAAAAUAUGUAAAUGUAAAGAGGGAAAGGAAGAUGUGUUUAAUGAAAUGAGGCGACAACGAGAAAGAAAUUGUUUAAAAAGAACAUAUUUUUAAAAGUCAUUAUUUCAGUGUGAGACGAGAGUUGGCAGUGUAGCCAAACAAUAUGGAAGAGGUGGUCGCAAAGUGUAAAAAGUGAUUAAAUUAAAAUGUUUAGCUUAGUGAAGCAAGUAACAGGGAGGAGUGUAUAGCGGCAAAGGUAGUAAGAAGAAAAUAUGGCCGGAGGAUAUCCAAAUAUCAUACGUUCCGAAAGAGGCAUGCAAUAAAAUAGCAAAGUAGAUAUUUAGAAGCAUAUCUACAAGAGUUUAGAUGUUCAGACCAUGCGAUUAAUGCACGUGCGUCUUAAAAAGAAUACGUUUCCGUUGUGUACAGCAAAAGUACAUCUUUAAAGAUUGGAAUCAACUGUACUGGUACUGAUGCACGUAGGAUGGAAUCUUUUCUAUAAGUGACAUAAUAUGCUUCCCGCCCCUUGUAAUUUCUUUUUUCUUUGCUGAUUUGCGAUCAACAGUCAUAUUCUCAUCCAAUAAGAAAUUUACUCUGUCGUAAUGUUAUCAAAUAAAAGAUAGUCAAGUUACAAAAAUAUUUCAACGUUAUCUCUGUGUAAUCAUGUGUUCCAUUCUUCCUUGGAAAGAGAAUAAAAAAUAAGAAUACCUUCGAAUAGUUUGUAGGUAUGUAUAUAUAUGUGUGUGUGUGUGUGUGUGUGUGUGUGUGUGUGUGUGUGUGUGUUAUGUGUGCGUGUACACAGAUAAUGUAUACAGGUGGACGUAGAUGAGAUAUGUUAUGUUUAACUGUUUGUAGAACAUACCGGUUUCAAAUAGCCUGAGUUUGAAGACUGUGUUUGCAAGAACAGACCUGUUCCGAAUUAUAGUUCAGUAUUUGGGUGUUAAUAAAAAAAUCUGGGUACAGAGAUGGUAGAGUUUAAAUUCUCCUCGGUAUAUAUAGACUAACAUUUUCCUAUUAAUUCUAUAUAGAGUAUUCUUGAUUUAUUUUCCAUAUGGGUUGAAAGAGUGAAGUGUCAUUUUUUUCCCAUUUGGGUUGCGAAAAGAAUGCAUGUCGGUUGUAUCGAUCGACCCUUUAUAUGUAAAUGUGGUUGUAGUUGUAGAGUGGUUACGAGUACACUGGAGAUAAUAUUACUUGUAAAAGAGUUUAGAGGGUAGGCUGAAGGGGUAUUAGAGUUGCGGUUGUCAGUAUUAUGCGGACGAUGCUGGUUACAUAAAACCAAGUAAAAUAUUCUCAUCAUAACUUUCAGUCAAUCCAUAUUCUACUCACAAAUACUUUCCUCAUAUUCUAUUCUAUUGCCUUUCCUAUACAGUUAAUUCACCGAUCUAUCUUCAUCACAGUUAAUUAUCAUUUCAUAUAGUUUCGCCUACUUCCUGAAACACAACUAUAGAUUAUAUCUAGCCCCCGACUCCAAAGAAAAACCCUAGUAUAGCACAGUCUAAUGAAGGCAAGCAAACCGAAACUACGAAGUCUGUCAACCUUUCCUCGUAAAAGUUUACUAAAGACAUACACAGAUGCUCACACACGCACACACAUAGGUUAAAAAUAGCGAAUAACAGACACAUAUAAUCACUAUUACAGACAAAAUAACUUCAGAAAAAUAAUUAAAAUUCAUAUAAUUAAUUAGUUCCUAAAUCAUCCGAUGUGAUUAGAUCGCGCCGUUCUGUCCAGUAAGUCGACAUACGACAUUGUGACCGUGAGCCGAAUACCCUAAUCACUACAUUUAUAAUGUAUAAUAUUUAAUAUGUGUUGUGUGUGUGUUUGUGUGUGUGUAUGUUGCAUAUUAGCGGUAUAUACAUGCAUAUGUGUGUGUAAUCAUACUCUGACUUCAAAAACGCUAUUAUGAAGUGUGAUCGCAAUCCGCUGUGAUCGAGAAAAAUAUAUACCAAUUUUAUACUGCUUUCGAUUUAAACGACUCCACCCAACGCUCUUAGACAUAAGCGUGCUUCUGUAAAUUUAAGAGAUCAGUUUCCGUAAGUGCGAGGUCAGUGUCUAAUUAAAUACAAUAUAUCGCAGGUAUUUACAAAAUCAAGCAUGAAAGCAUGCAAAAUCCACUGAUUAAUAAAAAUAGUAGAAGCGAGGCGGCAUGCUAGCAACAUCUUUAGUAAGCCGGGCAAAAUGCUUAGCAAUAUUUCGUAUUUUUAUGCCCUGAGUUGAAAUUCCGCCGCGGUAGACUUUGCCUUUCAUCUUUCAGAGUCGAUAAAUUAAGUACUAGAUGAGUACAGGGUAUCGAUAUAAUCGACCUACCCCUCUCUUGAAAUUGCUCGCCUUGUGCCAAAGAUUUGAAACCAAUAUAGUGGUGAUUUUCGUGAAGCCAUCUGUCAUUUUCCCCAAAUUUCUGGGUUCUAGAUAUAUUAAUAAUAGCAGUAGCAGCAGCGGCAGCGGUAGCAGCAGCGGCAGCGGUAGCAGCAGUAGUGGUAGUAGUGAUGGUGGUGGGUGUGGUGAUUCUAGUAACAGCUCUAAUUCAAGUAUCUCCCAACUGAAUGACAAUAUUUUCUCUCUAUUUCUUUCUUUCUCCACACACAUGCACACAUAAAACAAUAUGCACAGACCUAACCACACAUUACUUGAUGCUCAAGUAUCUCUCUCUCUCUCUCUCUCUCUAUAUAUAUAUAUAUAUAUAUAUAUAUAUUAAUUCAUAAUAGAAUAUAAGGAUAAAAAUCACAUUAAUGAUUUUUAUCAGGUAGUAGCAUGCUACAACAAGUUAUAGGCAAUUUAUACAUUAAAUUAAUAAUAUACAUAUGUAUAUUAUUAUUAAUCAAAACAUAAAUACAUACAUACAUACAUACAUAUAUAUAUAUAUAUAUAUAUAUAUAUAUAUAUAUAUAUAUAUAUAUAUAUAUAUAUAUAUAUAUAUAUAUAUAUAUGUAUAUAUGUAUAUGUAUGAAGAGUCAUCUUUUGGACUGAACUGCUUUUGGUUUGGCCUAUGUAUUGCUCUCGAUACUCUGAGCAAGUUAAUACAUAUAUCAGGUUUUCCAAAGCACGUGAAGUUGUUUUUCACUGUAAAACGUUGACCCUGUUUGAAAGAGAGCUGUGAUCCCUCAAUUACGUUGACGCAUAUACCACAGUUAGUUCUUCUGCAUCUUUUACUGACGGCUUCAGCGUACUUGUGCUUGUGUUAGGAGACAAUUCAUAGAUUUGGGUUGUCUUUUGCUCUUCAUGAUGGAGUGUAUUUGGAGGAUUAAAAUUAUUCUGUGGUCCUUUUUAGUAGAGGAAUGUUGUGGAGUAUAGUGUCGAAGGCUUCAUUGUUAAGGGGGUUGUGUGUGGAGAUGUAUGGUAGAGCUUUUGGUUGUAAAUCCCUCUUUAGUUUGGGAUGUUCGUGGAUGUUGAGUUGUAGGGCACUUUGAAAGCCUAUAUCAAUUACGGAAGGUGGGUAGUUCCUGAUGAUGUGUGUAUACUUUAGUUCAUGUAGUGGUGUGCCCCUGGUGUUUGUAUUAAAAACUAUAGUACAAAUCCUUUUUGCUAGGUUGAAGGGGAUAUUCAUUUUAGUGCAUCUGGAGUGGCAUGAGUUAAACGUGAGCUUAUCGUAAAUAGCUAUUUCUAUUUUGUUGUUGCAUUUCUUAAUGAGAAUGUCGAGAAAUGGAAGUUGUUGAUAGCUAUAUUCCAUCGUAAAUUGAAUUCUUAUAUCAAGUGCUUGAUAUUCUUUAAGUCUCUCUAUACUUUCAUACCAAAGAAUGAAUCAGUCAUCCAGAUACCUCUUCCAGUUAUUUUCUAUGUAAAGGGGGAAUAGGUUGUCGUAUUUUUCUAGUACCUUAUGUUAAAGACUAAUUUCUAGAUAUCCAUGACUAGGUUAGCAAAGGAGGGGGCCAUUCUCGUACCUAUCGUAGUCCACGAUUUUUGUCGGUAGAAGUUGUCUUUGCAAAUAAAGAAGUUUUUCUCGCCCUCCUAUUACGAAUUCUUUUAUGAAGCGGUGUAGGAGUUCAGUGGAGUAAUUCUUUAGCCAGAGUUGAAUUGCCUCUAUUCCUAAGUUGUGGGGGAUAUUAGAAUAGAGGUUGACUACAGUUUCAACAAUUUUCAUCAUGUUUCAUAUUUAGAUGCUUUUAUUAUAUUCAUUCAGUUGUUAAAUAUAAAUAUAUCUUGGAAUUAAAUGGUUUUGAUUUACUGUCAGGUGACUUUUGGCCAACCCUGUUUAUACAAUUAUAGAUAGAUAGAUAGAUAGAUAGAUAGAUAGAUAGAUAGAUAGAUAGAUAGAUAAGUAGAUAGAUAGAUAGAUAGAUAGAUAGAUAGAUAGAUAGAUAGAUAGAUAGAUCAGAUAGAUAGAUAGAUAGAUAGAUAGAUAGAUAGAUAGAUAGAUAGAUAGAUAGAUAGAUAGAUAGAUAGAUAGAUAGAUAGAUAGAUAGAUAGAUAGGUAGAUAGAUAGAUAGAUAGAUAGAUAGAUAGAUAGAUAGAUAGAUAGAUAGAUAGACAGACAGAUAGAUAGACAGACAGAUAGAUAGAUAGAUAGAUAGAUAGAUAGAUAGAUAGAUAGAUAGAUAGAUAGAUAGAUAGCAUCAUAAAUGCUAAACAGACUUACAUAUAAAUAAAUACUUGCGUGUCAAAGGAUGUCUGUGUAUGUGCGCGUGCGAUUGUGUUUGAAGAGAGUGGAGACAUUAUAUUAAAUAUCAAUCAUCAUCAAUACUAAUAAUGCUUAUUGUUGGUUGAUUGGUCACGCUAUUGGAUAUGAAGUAACACAAUAUGUUAUAUCUGCAGUCAUUUGUUAUCUAAACAAUAUUAUUGUUGAUGGUAACAUAUUUAUUGGAAAUACACAAAUGUGAAAUUAGUCAAAUUUAUUUAAUUUGAAUUCAAUAAAUAUUUCUAUUUUUACAAAAUUCAUAUCUAUCUCAUUAUUUUGUAUAAGCAAUAUGACAUUUGACAAAUAGUAAAAUUAUAAUUAUUGUCUCUAUGUAAUGUUAACUGGUAUUAUUGACAGUAGCAAAAAGCAUACUCCCCACUGGCUAAGCGAGCAGGCCAUAUAUAUAUAUAUAUAUAUAUAUAUAUAUAUAUAUAUAUAUAUAUAUAUACAUACAUACAUACAUACAUACAUACAUACAUACAUACAUACAUACAUACAUACAUAUACACACACAGAGCCUAGCCUUUUGACUGAGAUCAAAGUGUAGUAUACAUAUACAUAUGCGUGUAUAUGUUUCUCUUUGUGGAUCAACAAAACUUACCAUUGGCUCAAUGCCGAGAAUUCUCAGCAAUUAUUUAUCCCUCUACACGGUACGUUGGUAUCCAUCUCUUUCUUCGAUAUGUGAUACCAGUAUGUGCAAUACGCAUUCUUGGGAAUAUGUAUAUAUAUAUAUAUAUAUAUAUAUAUAUAUAUAUAUAUAUAUAUUAAUAGUUAUCGCCAAGCUAAUAUGGCAGUCCAGGAAUAUACGACGAAUGCUGCUGUUGAUUAGCUCCAAGAAGUCAUCACUUCUAGCUAGCUAUGUGACACACGAACCUGUAUCCAUUAUAACCUUUGAAUAGGGGAAGUCAGCCGCUUCCUCCUGCUGGUCAGGUAUCUGCAGACUAGUUUCAGGGUAUUUGCCCUUUAUCAAUGCAGAGCAGCCGAACAAAGCAUGCGUUGCUACUAACCGUCUGUUCGAAGGAUUAUUUACCUAAAUUCAGUGGAAUACAUCAACUGGUUUACAAAAAUAGAAAUAUUAAAACUUGUAAGUCUCUCUAAAGGAGACUACGGCAGCAGUACUGGAUAUUAAUGAUAUUUCUAUUUUUGAAAACCAGUGGAUGUAUUCCACUGAAUUUAGGUAAAUAAUUCUUCGAACAGACAGUUAGUAGCAACGCCUGCUUGGUUCGGCUGCUCUGCAUUGAUAAAGGGCAAAUACCCUGAAACUAGUCUGUAGAUGCCUGACCAGUAAGGAGAAGCGGCUACCCUCCUCUGUUGGAAAGUUAUAAUGAACACAGGUUCGUGUGUCACAUAGCUAGCUGGAGGCGAUGGUCUGUUGGAGCUAAUCAACGGCAGCAUUCGUACUAUAUACCUAGACUGCCAUAUUAGCUUGGCAAUAACUUUUAAUAUCCAGUACCACUGCCGUAGUCUCCUUUAGAGAGACUUAGAAAUUUUAAUAUUUAUAUAUAUAUAUAUAUACACACACACACAUAUAUAUAUUUAUACAUACAUACAUACAUACAUACAUACAUACAUACAUACAUACAUACAUACAUACAUAUAUAUAUAUAUACAUACAUAUAUAUAUUCAUACACACACACACACACACACACACACACACACACACAUAUAUAUAUAUAUAUAUAUAUAUAUAUAUAUAUAUAUAUAUAUAUAUAUAUAUAUAUAUAUAUAUAUAUAUAUAUAUCCCGCAGAAUAUAUCCUGAAACUAACCAGGACUUGACUCGAUAAAAUUUGGGGACUAGCGUUGAUGAUUUUAUCAGUUUUAGAAUUAUUCUCAAGAUCAUUUGCCACCUUAUUGAAAACCGCAUAAACAAUUCGCCGUCACUUUUAAAAUGCGGCCGUGAAGGUUCUGAAACAUGAGUGAACUAAGGAAUUUAGGAACGCUAUCGUUCGAAACAAAUAGGAGAAAUUCUGGAAAAGAGCAUUGAACUUGUCUCGAUUCUUGUCAGAUAUAAAAUGUGAAAGGAAAGCCGAUCCCUAUUUACUUAUAGAGAGAAUGAAGGGAGGAGAGAGUGAGAGAGACAGAGAGAGAGAGAGAGAAUCAUACAGACAUAGAGACAAAGACAAAGGGAGAGAGAGAGAUACACAUACACAAACAUAUACACAUUUAUGCGAUCCGAUUACAAAUAGUAAUUAGUUUAGUGACAUAAGAUCCAUUAUGCAACAUUCAUCUCUGUAUGUGAAUUUCUAAUUUCAUGAACUUUACCAUCUUGAACAACAUCUCCAUAAAACAUCAAUAAUAUUCCUGAAUAGGAUAAUUUUUUACUUUCCAUUUGACGGCCUACUCAUUUAUUUAAUGUUGUAGAUAAGUAUAUAUGUAGUUAUAUGUGUGUCUGUAUAUGUAUAUAUAGAUGUAUAUAAUUAUGUAUGUAUCCAUGUAUACAUACUUUAUCUAUCUAUCUAUCUAUCUAUCUAUCUAUCUAUCUAUCUAUCUAUCUAUCUAUCUAUCUAUCUAUCUAUCUACUUAUCUAUAUAUCUAUUUAUCUACUUAUCUAUCUCUCUUUAUCUCUCUCUCUAUCUAUCUAUCUAUCUAUCUAUCUAUCUAUCUAUCUAUCUAUCUAUCUAUCUAUCUAUCUAUCUAUCUAUCUAUCUAUCUAUCUAUCUAUCUAUAUAUCCAUCUAUAUAUAUAUGUGUGUGUGUAUAUUUAUAUAUCUCUGUAUCUCUGUGUGUGAGUAUGUAAAUAUUUGUUUAUAUUCAUAUAUAGAAUGUGUAUAUUUAUGUAUAUUGAUGCAUGUAAAUUUACAUGUAUUUGUUAUAUGUGCAUAUAUAUAAAAUAUGAAUAAUUAUCACUACGUGUAUAUUAUUAUUAUUAUUAUUAUAUAUAUAUAUAUAUAUAUAUAUAUAUAUACAGACUAAGAGAGCGGGAGUAAGAGAGAGAGAGAAAGAAAGAAAGAGAGAGAGGUGUGGGGGGAGAGAAGGGAAAAUAAGUACGUUAGACACAUAAAUGCCAAAAGAUUCAUUUAUGUAUUUUAUCUGAAAAGCUCUGCGACUGGGAAAUUAUUCCCAGACUUCAUACUCCUUGAUGGCUACAAACAACAUCCAAAUUCCGAGGAACUCUCCCAGGUUCAAGAGAAGAAAUACAUUUUAAACAGCCCUGUUUAAAUUAUAUAUUCUAAUUACUAUAUUAACAUUCUGUUUAAUCAAAUAUGUUCAGGGAAUCGAACUACUUAUAUAGACCACCAUCCCCGUCGUUUCUCUUUUUUGUACCACCCCACUCUCUCACUACACAUAUACAUACUCACACACGCACUUCGUAUCAUCCUCUCUUAUGGGCGCACCACACAUACAAAUACAUACAUAUAUUCAUGAGAAUGCACGCUUAUGCAAUCACAAACAUGCAGACAUACACACACACACACACACACACACACACACACACACACAUAUAUAUAUAUAUAUAUAUAUAUAUAUUCAGCAAAAACAAUUAAGAUUCAAGUGAAUUCCAAUGAAUUCCAAUGAAUAUGGUACUUAACUUAGAUGCAGCAGAAUUCUUUAUGGUAUUAACCAUAAAAUAAUGUGGGGUCAUUAUAACCAAGAAAAAAAGCAACAAGAAUGGAUUAGUAGUUUAGUACAAUUGUUUCAUACUAAGAGCAAUUUUAUUUGAAGCUGUAAAUAUUGCAGCAAAUACAAAUGUCCCGUAUUCAUCAGCUAAAUCACAUAUAUGCUUUUUUCUUGGUUAUAUAUAUUUAUAUAUAUAUAUAUAUAUAUGUAGAGAGAGAGAGAGAGAGAGAGAGAGAGAGAGAGAGGGAGAAUAGAUUUACGCAUAUAUGGAUGCAUGUGUGUGAUUUUAUUAAUCUAUGUGUAUGUGUGUGUGUGUGUGUGUGUGUGUGUGUGUGUGUGUGUAUGUAUUGCUUCAUACUUCUACUUUAUAUGUAUCUAUUUAUUAUUCUUCAGCCGUGCUUAAAUCUGAAAUUGCAAUCGGUGUCCCGUGUUGUAAAUCUGUAUGUUUGUACAAGAUAUUUUAUUGCCUCGAUGUGUUUUCCCAUUGCUGAUAUCAAUGCGGACAUUCAGUCACUUGAAGAUAAGAGGCCGUGAUGUCGAUCACAUUCCGCGUGUUUUCGACAGCACAAUGGAUUUGGGGGAAAAAAAUCUUCCCUGCAACAUCAUGUUAUAAAACACUUCUUUAUAGGCACCUACCUAGACAUGUAACUGACACUCCAACAACAGGGGACUGUGGUGGCCAGAUAAUAUGUUCGACUUCAUUAGAAUGUUCCUCGUGCCAUUCAGUAACAACUUUAGCUGUGUGAAUUGGUGCAUUAUCAUCCUGAAACAUUGCGUUUCCCCUCGGAAACAGUUCCGUAACCAUAGGAAGAAUUUGAUCAGAUAAAAUGCUUAAAUAGUCUUGACUAUUAAUUCUAUCAUGAAAGGAAACCAUUGGGCUAGCGGAUUUACAAGAUAUAGCUCCCACCCAGAUCAUCAGAGAUCCUUCUCCAUGUUUAACAGUUGGAAGAAGGCAGUCUGGGUUAAAUACGUUUUUUUACUGUCUCCACAUGUAUACUAGGUCGGUGGUCGAAAAUAAGGUAAAGGAUGACUCAUCUGAGAAAAUAACAUUCUUCCACUGCUCUAGGGACCAAAUCUGUAGGUUUUUACUCCACUCUAAACGUUUAGCAACGUUUGAUUUUGAAA
rnacentral:lncRNA from 1 species